rnacentral:lncRNA from 1 species
AUGGCAUUAGUCAGUUGUGACAUUGGCGAACAUGGCAUUCUCUUAGUGAACAUGGCAUGCUCAAAGUUGUGGAUUGGAUCAUACUCACCUGUAAGUCUUGGCUUGAGGGCGGUCGCACCCCCUCGAGCGAUGAACUCCAGAAUAGUCAUCACUGGGUUGUAGUUUCCUCAGAGAAUGGUCCCGUCGGGUUGUAGGAGUAUCUCCCCGAUAGCAG